AAACCAACAGGGAUUACCUCAGUAACGGCGAGUGAAGCGGUAACAGCUCAAAUUUGAAAUCUGGGCCUUUCAGGCUCCGAGUUGUAAUUUGUAGAAGAUGCUUCGGGUGCGGCUCCGGUCUAAGUUCCUUGGAACAGGACGUCAUAGAGGGUGAGAAUCCCGUAUGUGAUCGGCUGCUUGCGCCCAUGUGAAGCUCUUUCGACGAGUCGAGUGGUUUGGGAAUGCAGCUCAAAAUGGGUGGUAAAUUUCAUCUAAAGCUAAAUAUUGGCCAGAGACCGAUAGCGCACAAGUAGAGUGAUCGAAAGAUGAAAAGCACUUUGGAAAGAGAGUUAAACAGUACGUGAAAUUGUUGAAAGGGAAGCGCUUGCAACCAGACUUGCGCGUUGCCGAUCAUCCGGGGUUCUCCCCGGUGCACUCGGCCUCGCUCAGGCCAGCAUCGGUUUUGGUGGUGGGAUAAAGGCCUUGGGAAUGUAGCUCCUUUCGGGGAGUGUUAUAGCCCUCGGUGCAAUGCCGCCUACCGGGACCGAGGACCGCGCUUCGGCUAGGAUGCUGGCGUAAUGGUUGUAAGCGAC
rnacentral:rRNA from 1 species